rnacentral:rRNA from 1 species
ACGCUAGCGGGAGGCCUAAUACAUGCAAGUCGAACGGUAACAGGGCAGAACUUCGGUUCAGCCGCUGACGAGUGGCGCACGGGUGAGUAACGCGUACAUAACCUGCCUUCAAGAGAGGGAUAGCCCUGGGAAACUGGGAUUAAUACCUCAUGGUAUUGCUAAGUCGCAUGGCUGUGCAAUUAAAGUUUCGGCGCUUGAAGAUGGAUGUGCGUGCCAUUAGCUAGUUGGUAAGGUAACGGCUUACCAAGGCAACGAUGGCUAGGGGGCGUGAGAGCGUGACCCCCCACACGGGUACUGAGACACGGACCCGACUCCUACGGGAGGCAGCAGUAAGGAAUAUUGGACAAUGGAGGCAACUCUGAUCCAGCCAUCCCGCGUGCAGGAUGACUGCCCUACGGGUUGUAAACUGCUUUUAUUUGGGAAGAAACCUGUUUAUUUACUGAACAGUUGACGGUACCUUAUGAAUAAGCACCGGCUAACUCCGUGCCAGCAGCCGCGGUAAUACGGGGGGUGCGAGCGUUAUUCGGAAUCAUUGGGCGUAAAGGGCGCGCAGGCGGUUUUGUAAGUCAGAUGUGAAAUCCCGGGGCUUAACCCCGGAAGUGCAUAUGAAACUAUGUGACUUGAGUAUGGGAGAGGGAAGCGGAAUUCCUGGUGUAGCGGUGAAAUGCGUAGAUAUCAGGAGGAACACCGGUGGCGAAGGCGGCUUCCUGGACCAAUACUGACGCUGAGGCGCGAAGGCGUGGGGAGCGAACAGGAUUAGAUACCCUGGUAGUCCACGCAGUAAACGUUGAUCACUAGGUGUAGCGGGUAUUGACCCCUGCUGUGCCGGAGUUAACGCAUUAAGUGAUCCGCCUGGGGAGUACGAUCGCAAGAUUAAAACUCAGAGGAAUUGACGGGGGCCCGCACAAGCGGUGGAGCAUGUGGUUUAAUUCGACGCAACGCGAAGAACCUUACCUGGACUUGACAUCUCGGGAAUUCCGUUGAAGGACGGGAGUGCCUUUAACGAGGAAUCCGAUGACAGGUGCUGCAUGGCUGUCGUCAGCUCGUGUCGUGAGAUGUUGGGUUAAGUCCCGCAACGAGCGCAACCCCUAUCUUCAGUUACCAUCAGGUGAUGCUGGGGACUUUGGAGAUACUGCCCCGGUUAACGGGGAGGAAGGUGGGGAUGACGUCAAGUCCUCAUGGCCUUUAUGUCCAGGGCUACACACGUGCUACAAUGGUAUGUACAAAGGGAAGCGAUCCCGCGAGGAGGAGCUAAUCCCAAAAAGCAUAUCAAAGUUCGGAUCGGAGUCUGCAACUCGACUCCGUGAAGUUGGAAUCGCUAGUAAUCGCGGAUCAGCAUGCCGCGGUGAUACGUUCCCGGGCCUUGUACACACCGCCCGUCACACCAUGAGAGUUGGCUGUACCAGAAGUCGUUGGGCUAACCCGCAAGGGGGGUAGGCGCCUAAGGUAUGGUUGAUGAUUGGGGUGAAGUCG